rnacentral:rRNA from 1 species
UACGGAGGAUCCAAGCGUUAUCCGGAAUCAUUGGGUUUAAAGGGUCCGUAGGCGGUUUUGUAAGUCAGUGGUGAAAGCCCAUCGCUCAACGGUGGAACGGCCAUUGAUACUGCAAGACUUGAAUUAUUAUGAAGUAACUAGAAUAUGUAGUGUAGCGGUGAAAUGCUUAGAGAUUACAUGGAAUACCAAUUGCGAAGGCAGGUUACUACUAAUUGAUUGACGCUGAUGGACGAAAGCGUGGGGAGCGAACAGG